rnacentral:tRNA from 1 species
GGAGGCAUAGCUCAGUUGGUUAGAGCGUUCGGUUCACAUCCGAGAGGUCUUGGGUUCGAGUCCCUAUGUCUCCACCA